rnacentral:lncRNA from 1 species
CAAAUAACAAAUAUCACAAAUUUUCCGAAUAUUUGCUUCGUGCCCAGGGCUAUCUCCAACAGUUAGUUACUCACAAGUCACAAGUAUUUGUUUUUUCUUCAAAAAAAAACAAAACAAAAACAUAUUACUUUCUUCUCUACAACUAUAUCAUCACCACACAAAUCGUUGUCCACAUUGUUUUCAUUCUAUCCUAAAUCGUUAUCUACAUUGUAUCUUUC